rnacentral:sRNA from 1 species
CUCCCUGUGCACCCACCCCCGUGUUGCUGAUCUGUCCUCCUGGCCGCAGGUGCUGGACCUGGUGGAGGUGCUAGUGACCAAGCAGCCCGAGAAUGUCCUGGUCCUGGAGCUGCUGGAGCCGCUGCUGAGCAUCAUACGGCGCAGCCUGCGCAGCAGCAGCUCCAAACAGGAGCAGGACCUUCUGCACAAGACGGCGCGCAUCUUCAUGCACCACCUGUGCCGUGCCCGGCGCUACUGCCAUGACUUGGGUGAGCGCGCAGAGGCCCUGCAUGCCCAGGUGGAGCGGUUGGUGCAGCAGGCUGGCCGCCAGCCCGACUCCCCCACCGCCCUCUACCACUUCAACGCCUCUCUCUACCUGCUCCGGGUCUUGAAGGGCAACACUGCCGAGGGCUGUGUGCAUGAGACACAGGAGAAGCAGAAAGCUGGCACUGACCCCAGCCCCAUGCCCACGGGCCCGCAGGCUGCCAGCUGCUUGGACUUGAACCUGGUGACCCGGGUGUACUCGACAGCACUGAGCUCCUUCCUGACUAAGCGCAACAGCCCGCUCACAGUUCCCAUGUUCCUCAGCCUCUUCUCCCGGCACCCGGUGCUCUGUAAGAGCCUGCUCCCCAUCCUGGUCCAGCAUAUCACAGGCCCGGUGCGGCCCCGUCAUCAGGCCUGCCUGCUGCUCCAGAAGACCCUGUCCAUGCGGGAGGUGAGGUCGUGCUUUGAGGACCCCGAGUGGAAGCAGCUGAUGGGCCAGGUCCUAGCAAAGGUCACUGAGAACCUGCGCGUGCUGGGGGAGGCGCAGACCAAGGCGCAGCAUCAGCAGGCACUGUCCUCCCUGGAGCUGCUCAACGCUCUCUUCAGGACCUGCAAACAUGAGAAGCUGACCUUGGACCUGCCGGUGCUCCUGGGUGUGCUGCAGGCGCAACAGCAGAGCCUACAGCAGGGGGCACACUCCACUGGCCCCAGCCGCCUGCACGAUCUCUACUGGCAGGCCAUGAAAACCUUGGGAGUCCAGCGCCCCAAGUUGGAGAAGAAGGAUGCCAAGGAGGUCCCCAGUGCCACCCAGAGCCCCAUCAGCAAGAAGCGGAAGAAAAAGGGAUUCUUGCCAGAGACGAAGAAGCGCAAGAAACGCAAGUCAGAGGAUGGCACGCCAGCGGAGGAUGGCACACCUGCAGCCACCGGCGGGAGCCAGCCCCCCAACAUGGGCAGGAAGAAGAGGAACAGGACAAAGGCCAAGGUCCCAGCCCAGGCCCAGGCAAACGAGAUACCAACCACCAAGAGUCCAGCCCCUGGUGCCCCCACCCUGAGCCCCAGCACCCCUGCCAAAUCCCCAAAACUGCAGAAGAAAAACCAGAAGCUGUCUGAGGUGAAUGGAGCUCCCGGGUCCCCCGCGGAACCUGCAGGCCAAAAGCAGCAUCAGAAGGCUCUUCCCAAAAAGGGGGUCUUGGGCAAAUCACCACUGUCCGCGCUGGCACGGAAAAAGGCAAGGCUGUCUUUGGUCAUCAGGAGUCCCAGCCUGCUUCAGAGUGGGGCCAAGAAGAAGAAAGCGCAGCUGAGGAAGGCGGGGAAGCCCUGAGCACAGGUACAGGCCGCCCUCAGCCCCUGCCUCCAUCUGCCUGAGACUCCUA